rnacentral:rRNA from 1 species
CUUAAGCUCGAAGGUGCGGGUAUCGAACAGGAUUAGAUACCCUGGUAGUCCGCACAGUAAACGAUGGAUGCCCGCUGUUAGCGCCUGGCGUUAGCGGCUAAGCGAAAGCAUUAAGCAUCCCACCUGGGGAGUACGCCGGCAACGGUGAAACUCAAAGGAAUUGACGGGGGCCCGCACAAGCGGAGGAACAUGUGGUUUAAUUCGAUGAUACGCGAGGAACCUUACCCGGGCUUGAAUUGCAGAGGAAUUAUUUAGAGAUAAAUAUGCCCUUCGGGGUCUCUGUGAAGGUGCUGCAUGGUUGUCGUCAGCUCGUGCCGUGAGGUGUCGGCUUAAGUGCCAUAACGAGCGCAACCCCUUUUCUUAGUUGCCAUCAGAUAAUGCUGGGCACUCUGGGAACACUGCCACCGCAAGGUGUGAGGAAGGUGGGGAUGACGUCAAAUCAAUCGAAUUCCCGCGGCC